UACGGAGGGAGCUAGCGUUAUUCGGAAUUACUGGGCGUAAAGCGCACGUAGGCGGCUUUGUAAGUUAGAGGUGAAAGCCUGGAGCUCAACUCCAGAACUGCCUUUAAGACUGCAUCGCUUGAAUCCAGGAGAGGUGAGUGGAAUUCCGAGUGUAGAGGUGAAAUUCGUAGAUAUUCGGAAGAACACCAGUGGCGAAGGCGGCUCACUGGACUGGUAUUGACGCUGAGGUGCGAAAAGCGUGGGGGAGCGAACCGG
rnacentral:rRNA from 1 species